AGUCGCUGCCGUCGGGGUCUCACUUCGGUCGGUGUCAUUCUCCAGCCAUAUCGGCUGCACUGUCAAUUUCGUUGGACUGCCGUGGACUUCUCGGCUUAGGUUGACUUGGAAAAAUUUGCAAGGAAUCUUCCUCUUCACCUUAUCGCAGCGAUUAUGGUUUGGGAAAGGGAAAAAUCCACGUUCAAGUAUUUGCUAUGUGGAAUUCUUCUGUUGCAUUCCAUGUGUGAUCUUGCCUCCCGGGUGCCCAAAAUUGAACAGUACCAAGAGGUUGCUCUA